GCUAUGUGGCCAUUAAUAUUUGAAUCGGUUGGAAGAUGUGAGUGGAAACACGUCAUUCGUUUUCAUGGACAACUAUGGCACGUCUUGUCCUCUACUAAGGACUCUCAACGUCUCUUUCUGCGUGGCAGGAGGACAGUGAAAAAUUUUCAUUAAAAAAAAGGGACCACAAAAUUAAAAGAAAAAGGCCUCAUUGUUUUUUCAAAAAAGAGGAUUUCUUCCUCUUCAUAAGAAAACACUUUAUUUCCACUGCAAAAAGAAAAAAAACCCACGAUAAUCUCCUUUCACUCUCGUUUUGGAACGGUACCCUUUCCAUAUCCGCAACCUCCAAAAACCCAAAACCAGCAUCACACAACCUCUGUUUUUCUUCAUCAGUGAGAGCCUUCCAACGCGCGACAUCCCUCUACCUUCCUUCACCAAAUAACCCCUCAAAUAUUCCUCCUUGAACAACCGCGAAACCACCGCCAAGCCAUUCCGGUGACGCUUUCGAAGAAGGCUCCACGCAUCAACUUCUUAUGCACAACCCAAGAUCCAAGCUCAACCGUCAAAGCUGAAAACCCCGUAGUAGUAGUACCGACAACUACGAUUUCUUCACUUUUCACUGCUAUACACAUCGUCGUUGCAAACUCAAAACUCACCAGAAGCUAGUGAACGUCCGAUUGUAUGUAUAUCGCUGGUUGCAUUAAGUUAACAACAAGGUGAUCCUGGUCGAGUGGUAAAGCUUAAGAUUGCAUUUCCAGGGUCACGGUUCAAUACCCUGGGUUGCGCUUUAGUUGCCCCAUCUUAUUUUAGUUUAUUCACUAUAUAUAUUAAUAAACACUUUUGGUUUAUUAUAGGAUCAUAAAUUUCAUCCUUGAUUAAUUUAGGUUCUAUUUUAGUAUUAACCCUUUUGAUUCUAUUUUAUUCUCAUUUUUCGA